rnacentral:rRNA from 1 species
UUUAAUUUCGAUGCAACGCGAAGGACCCUUACCCGGGACUUGACAUGUUCCGGAAUUCUUCUGAAAAGGGAGGACCUGCCUUCGGGAAACCGGAACACAGGCUGAGGCAUGGCCGUCGUCAGCUGGUGUCGUGCGAUGUUGCGUUAAGUCCCCGCAACGAGCGCAACCAUCGUUCUUAGUUGCCAUCAUUAAGCUCGGGCACUCUGACGAGACUCACCGGUGACUAACCGGAGGAACGGUGAGGAUGACGUCAAGUCAGCAUGCCUCCUUACGUCCUGGGCUACACACGUACUACAAUGCUACGGACAAAGGGCAGCAAGCAUGCGAAUGCAAGCUAAUCCCAUAAACCGUGGCUCAGUUCAGAUCGCAGGCUGCAACUCGCCUGAGUGAAGGCGGAAUCGCUAGUAAUCGCAGGUCAGCAUACUGCGGUGAAUACGUUCCCGGGCCUUGUACACACCGCCCGUCACACCAUGGGAGCUGGCCAUGCCCGAAGUCGUUACUCCAACCCGUAAGGGAGGAGGACGCCGAAGGUGGGGCUGGUGACUGGGGUGAAGUCGUAACAAGGUAGCCGUACCGGAAGGUGUGGCUGGAUCACCUCCUU